rnacentral:rRNA from 1 species
UACGUAGGGAGCAAGCGUUGUCCGGAAUCAUUGGGCGUAAAGCGCGCGUAGGUGGCCAUGUAAGUCCGCUGUGAAAGUCAAAGGCUCAACCUUUGAAAGCCGGUGGAUAACUGCACGGCUAGAGUACGGAAGAGGCGAGUGGAAUUCCUGGUGUAGCGGUGGAAUGCGCAGAUAUCAGGAGGAACACCAAUAGCGAAGGCAGCUCGCUGGGCCGUAACUGACGCUGAGGAGCGAAAGCAUGGGGGAGCGAACAGG